rfam:Culex flavivirus isolate M-15, complete genome
GCCCACGCAAGGGGAGAGAAGAUUUUCGCCUCCGGGUGUUGACGACACCCCGACCCCA